UCGGUUGGGGACCGACUCUCGAUUCCGGCCCCCAUCGCAGUCUCACAGUUCAUGGGUUUGAGCCCCGCAUCUGGUUCUGUGCUGACAGCACAGAGUCUGCUUGGGACUCUCUCUCCCUCCCUCUGUCUGCCCCUCUGCCUCACUUGUGCUCUCUCUACAAUAAAUAAACUUUAGACUUGUGGGGGCUGUUUUCCUCACGGCGAGAAAUGCCAAGUGCACGUGACAGGGUCCUUGGGGACACGGGGACUUUCUAGGCUCCUCCGCCAUCACGGGGUCGUCUUGUCACCUCUCCGUCACAGGGUGGCUGCGGCAUCACGUCUGCCUUCCAAGCGGGAAGCAAAGAAAGUCGUGUCUCUGUCCGUCCCUCUUCUCACGCGACAGCAAAAGCUUUUCCAGAACACCCUUCCAUAGGCUUCUGUUUCUGUUUCCCCGACCUCCACUGUGUUCCAGAAGGGAGGGCCGACGAGCAAGCAUUUAGUUCUCCAGCCUCUGGGAGAAGGGAGUUGGAAUUAGGUGCUCAGCGAGCCCAUCCACAGCAUCAGCUGCAAACAGUGUCCCCUUACUGAGAGCCACUUCCUCAAGACAGGAACGGUCCGUGAACGUUUGUCCUGAAUCCCUAGCGUCUAGAGCAGUAUCUGGCCCGUCGCUGACCGCUGUGCGAAAUCGCACGCACGCCGGAGUGGACACGUGCACAGGACUGGGAGCCUCAGACCUGCUCCCUGUAGGUAGGUCGCUGUGCCUUCGAGUGUGAGGACGGCAGUGUGCAGGGACAGGAGAGGGGUGAACUCAGGGGGUCAAACCUAGGAAUGGUGGUACCUCCCAGCCCAUCACUUCCCGCUGGUCUGUAACUUUUUAGGAGAGACUGUUUUCUUUGGGAUGGCGGGGGGGGGGGGGACGUUCCUAUGUCAUGAAGCGUUGGAGUUCCUUCUACGUCUUAAUUCCCCAGAUGUUCAGCAGCAUGCCCCUCACACAGCCAGCCUUCCUAGGUGGCGUUGGGGGGCUCCGGGCUAGGUCCCCGAGGGACUCUGAGCUUCCCCCCGUCACCUUCCAGGGGCCGGUGAGGCAGGAACAACGCUGCAUGGACCGGGGGGGGGGGGGGCUGGACCCGCAGGGCAGAUUGGGUCGGCGGCCGCAGCACCCACAGGGGGCCGCGGUGACCCGUCGAGCGCACCUGCCGGAGGGCGACUCGGGCCCAGACCCGGGCUUGUGGCGAGCCCUGCCGACCCCACGUUCACGGAAGAAGGGGCGUCUAGCAUGGCAGGUGAGCAUGAGGGGAGGAGGGCUGGAGCCCCGCCCUGCCACUUACUCACAGGGACCGUCCCCAAGUUGCCGUCCCUUCUAAACACCCUGCCACGGGUCAUCGCGAAAGUGGAUGAGAAAAUGCUUGGGGAACACCCGGAACAUGCCGCGUGCCCAGUAGGUAUGACUAUGUGGAAACACGUAGAAAACUCUACCCCUUGUCCUGCCCCUCAUUAUAAACGGAGCCCGAAAGGGGUCAAGUCUGGUCCGGGCUUCAGCCGUCGAUUGCCGGCACGCGGGCACGGCUCCAGGCUGCCCCUCACUGCACCGCGCACACACGACUUUGGUGCCCGUUUGCAGCCGGGACUGUCACCUGGAGGUCCCGGGCCGCCCGCGCCUCGCGCACGUGGCACGACGCACAGCGCAGAGAUUGGGUGACAGCCAUCUGCGCCCCGGUGCUCCCUCCACCCGGCCUCCCCGACCGGCCUGCCCUCCCCCGCCCGCCAGCCUCCCGCCAGCCCGUGGAGUGUCCCCGAGGCCCCUGAGCUGGCGUUUUCAUGGAACAGGCUUCCAGGGACAGCCACCCUCCCCCUUCCUGCGCGUUCUCGGGCAAGCCAGAACCCUCCGCUCACAACAGGAAACCAAUAGCUCUGUGCUAUCAGAAGACAUUUCCUUCACGGCACAGAGCGUCUGAGUAAUGAUUUUGAGCCGGCUUCACCCAUUUCCGGUGGAAGGAGGCAAGUGGCCGGUCCCCGCCCCUGCACGGCCCUCUCGGAGCCCCGCCGCCCAGCAGCCUCCGGCUGGAAGACGGGCCUCUCUUCCCUUUGCCGUCCCGGCCCGGCACCCCGAGUAGCAGAUUCACUCGGAGGGGCUUUCCCGCGUCUACGCAGAACACCGUCACUGGCUCGUACUCUCAUCUGCAUGCCGUUCACAGGUGGCUUUGACGGCGAAAAGGCGGGUCGAGAAGGUCACACCUUUUUGGAAGGACUCUGUCCCUCAGAAGGAUGAGCAUUUUGAAUCCCUUUCUUCGAGUGCUGUCUUGCAAAGUUCUUAUGUGGAUUUGGGGGCUCAUCUACAAGGCUCCAGGCCUCCCAGCAUCCGGAGGGAAUUUAGACCAACCUCUUUCUCGGGGCAUCGAAGGAGAGCACGGCCCUGGGCUUCUUGGAGCAGUUCCAGCUGGAGGUAUUCACCCGUGUGACCUAGGACGUGUUGCUGAGCGGGGACCCCCGUCAGCGAGCUCGCCUGCUAGGAGGCCACCUUGUCAGCAGGUGGGGAAAGUGCCCGUCCUGGCCUUACAGCCGUGCUCAGGCUUCACCGAUGGGGCUCAGGCUGGAGGGACCGAGCAUCAAACAGGGGAAACCAGCAAGGACGCGGAGCCAGCGGAGGCUGCCUCCACGUUCACUUUAAGCCCGGACUCAACCAGAGCCCCCUGCACUCGUCUUUCCCGGCCACAGGGAAAAAGCCACCUGGAGCGGGACAGAACCGAGCCGGCGUGAAAAGAGAGGCCAAGGUGACCAUGGCUCCGGCACGGAAUGGCGCUCUCUCUGGAAGGCUGCAGGAAUUACCUGUGCAAGUCCCGGGCCUUGGUGCUUGUUUGCAGUGGCUCUUCCAUUUUUUCCCCAAACUUGCUUCCCUUCCCGGCUCAUCUGAGCCUGUUGGCCUCCCGUCCCAGCUGCAGUCUGAGAAAGAAUGGCUCCAGCGUCCCCCGGCCUUCCUGUGGCCUAAGGACACUGCAUGGGGAGAGGACACAUCAGAGAGCGCGUGGGCGCCUUGCCUUUGAUCUGAAACAGUUUCCCGGACCGCUGCAGGGCUCACUUCCCAAGCAGGGGUGUGCAUCUGUUUUCUGGGAGGUAGAGACCCAUCUCUGACCUCCAGCCCCUCCCCCAAUUCAGUGCAGGGCCCUGGACGCUGAUCUGACGGCCCUCCGACGUCCUCUCCUUUCCACUGGAUGCCCAGGCAGUGAGGGCUUUUUCUAUGCACUUGCCCCGGCUGUGCAGUGACCCACUGGGGUCAACGUCACUCCAGAGUCUCAGGCUUCUUCCCACCUCACUCGGCUUCCUCUCUCUCUCUCACCGGCCUGGAGGGCGGAGGAGCGGAGCCGGGAUUCCCGUCACCCGCUCUGGCAUCUUCCAUCAUUACAAUUUGUCGUGAUUUUUGGAAGUUUGUGGAGGCAGGCGGGAAAGCAAUAAAUGAUCAUAAAUGCUUUUCAGGGUGGGGAUGCUGCCCCCGUUGGUCAGGAACCAGGGAAGGAAGGUGAGUGUGUUGCAUGAUCUGCGACACAACUUCUGGUUACCCUACAACUAACUCUAUAUUUAGAUAAAUACUCAGCCCUCUAGACAAAGGACUUUGUGAAAAAUGAUUCCGUUGUGUAGAUUUACUCCUUGUUGAGAAAGGACGUGUGAGUGUCUGAGGGUGGAACAGAGACGACGGAACCUCGGAUGUUCACGAGACCGAAUCAGACCUCGGAACCUCGGGUGUUUACCAGAUCGAAUCAGAGCUCAGAACCUCAGGUGUUUAUCAGAUCGAAUCAGAGCUCGGAACCUUGGGUGUUCACGAGAUCGAAUCAGACCUCAGAACCUCGGGUGUUCACGAGAUCGAAUCAGAGCCCGGAACCUCGGGUGUUCACCAGAUCGAAUCAGAGCUUGGAACCUUGGGUGUUCACGAGACCAAAUUGGAGCUCAGAACCUCAAGUGUUUACCAGAUCGAAUCAGAGCUCAGGACCUCGGGUGUUCACCGGAUCGAAUCAGAUCUGGUGCUUCUGUGUCCAGAAAGUGAGGUUUGAGGCCAGCUUCUCAGGAUGGGCAUGAACACGUGCUAUCACUGAGGGGGCUGUUGUGGGAACCUAUUGCUUCCAUCUGAUCAGUCCUUUUCUCUGCCAUCCAGCAAAAGAACCUGACCUCUUGGCCAGAAGGAUGGACACAUGAUCUCAGCCAGAAUCAGAAAGUCCUCUAGUGGGAUUUUUCAGAUGGGGUCUGGGACAGACAGGCUGCUUCUCCCAGUGUCAGAGUGCCGUGGCCGUGACAAGUGAGUGUGCAGGGAGUAAAACCAACACAAGGGGCCCAAGAGGGAGAGACUUGAGGCUCCGGUCAUCUCCGAAGCCGCCUUGCCACCAUCCGGCUGUGGACUUGAUCAUACCAACCUGACCGAGCUCCCUCGGAUUGGGUUUGGAGAAUGUACAGCCUCCUGACUAAUGGACGCCCCCGCAGGGGCAGGAGCUAGAGGGGCUGCGGGGAAUCACGACUCUCACAUUGGCUCCAUACCUCCAAUUCCUGAAGAAUGACAGCCAUUGAUUUGUCACGGAAGAUGUCAGAGCAGACUCUCUGUUAGAAUCUCGGUGUGAUUCCUAGUGCUUUAGUGAGCAUGGUUUUUAUUUUGGAUAUUUGCACCAAACAAAGGUUAUAAAGGUAGAAGCUUGAGAGAACAAGGGAUCAGAAGAAGGAAGGAUUCUUUCUGAGUCCCAUGGACGUGAUGUGGCAGUGAGGUUGGGGGCUGUGACCAGGGAGAGCCGUGGGGGAUCCAGAGAUUUUCUUCUGAGUAUCAGAGAUGAUGCCCUGAGUUUCUGCCGAAGGAUUUCGGACCCUUCCCAGGGCGACCACCUACCUGCCCUGGUUUUUCAGGAAAAGAAGGGGUUCCCGAGAGGUGGGAUUUUCGGCGCCCAAACCAGAAAGCUCAGGCGAACUUGGACAAGCUGUCUCUGGUUUGUUGCUUUUGUGAAAAAUUCUCAGGGCUCAAGAUUCAGUUAGGCUCUGUGAUUGGAGGUUUGUCACAGUGGGUGUGCUGAGUUCUUGUUUUUGUUUUUUUUUUUUUUUUGUUUGACCCAGCAGUAGCUAAAAAGAGAAUUUGAAAUGCAUGGUAAGAUUCCAGAACCCAAGAUCAAACGUUCGCCAUGUAAGUGGGUGAACAGAAGGAUCAUCAGGCAGGUUGGAGAUGCAGAGCCUUUGAGAUGUGAUCUCGUUCAGGAAGACAGCGGCACAGGUGACGGGAGAGCAGGGGACCCCUGAACUUCGGGAUGCCGAGGAGGAGGACAGCGCAGGCCCAGGAGCAGAGAGGCUGAUGGUCGGUUGGGCGGCUGGCUGGGGGCUCUGAGGAGGAAGCCCCCAUGUGAGGACCCGCAGGUUGUGCAGAUGCUGCCUUCCUUCCAGCCGUGAACGUGGAAUAGCUUAGAGAGGUCUAUCGGGUGCCAUCUUGAAUCUGUCCAGAAGUGGGUGCCCAUGCUAUGGUAGAGCUUUAACAAGGAAGAGCUUGGGUUCCCCAAUCUCUGGACCUUGAUUCCUUGUUUUCCUCUGACUCACAGGGGAGCCUUGGGUUUCUGGAAAUUGUUACAUUCAUGUUUCUCCCCCUUCAACUCAGUUUUAGACUUCAUAAAAGUGUAGGGUAGAUAGAGAAGGGGGAAAAAAGUCCAGACAGGAUGCACAUGAUUUAAUUAACAAUUUUCCAGGUUAUUAAAUGCACGUAUCUUUUGAAAACCGGGAUUGCACGGUUUUAUUUGGCAACCUGAUUUCUCUCGUGUAUGCUUUCUGAGCAUAAAAUGUGCACGUAGAUGCGCAUGACGUUAGAAGCACGCGAUACACGUAGCCGCGUUGCGCCCUCCGUUUCAUUGUGCGCAACUCAUACAUGUCGUUAUUGUAGCUUCUGGAAAUAUACCUUCAGUGUCGUACAACAUUGCUACGGGUGGACGCAAACAAAAACUAUCUGUUUCAGCAGUGGGCAUUCAACCCUCUCUAAUUCGUGACAUUAAAUGUCCCAUGGCAGCGAGUAUGGAACAAGGUUCCGUGUAUCCUUGAGUGAGUCUUUGCUUCAUGUCCUAUUAUUUCCUUAGGCUGGAUUUCUAGAGGUAGUUCAAGGAGGACACACAGAUUUUGGGCUCUUAUUACACAUGGACAGAUUGUUUUCCAGAAAGAUUCACCCAUUUUAUACUCUUGCCCUGAGUGAAUGAUAAUUUCCCUUGUACCUUUACCGAUUGAACCCUCCAACUCUGGCCAGAAGGGAGCGGAGAGAAUGGGUGAUGGGCGUUGAGGAGGGCACUUGUUGGGAUGAGCACUGGGUGUUGUAUGUAAGCCGAUCUGACAAUAACUUAUAUUUGAAAAGAAAGAAAAUAUUUGCCAAUUUGAUGGAUUAACAAAAGAUAUUUUAACUGGCAUUUGUUGGAUUAGUAGUGGGGGUUGAUUUUUUAAAUGUAUUUAUUCUUAUUCUUUGUGAAAACUCUCAUUUUUGUCCAUUGGGUUUUUUUCUAAAUAGACUUGAUUUUUUCUUAAUUCUUGACGAAUUAUGAGUAUUAAUCCUUUGCCAUUUUAUCGCAAGUUUGCAAUUGGCUGUUUUCUAACUAAAUGUUUUGGUUCUACACUCAAACUCUUUAAAAACAUUUUUUAAAUGUUUACUUUUACUUUUGAGAGAGAGGGAGAGAGAGAGAGAGAGAGAGAGAGACAGAGCACGAGCAGGGCAGGGGCAGAGAGGGAGACAGAAUCCGAAGCAGGCGCCAGGCUCUGAGCUAUCAGCACAGAGCGCGACGCGGGGCUCGAACCCACGAACCGUGAGAUCAUGACCUGAGCUGAAGUCGGACGCUUCACUGCCUGAGCCACCCAGGUGCCCCUACCCUCAAACUGUUUUAAAGUCAAAAUUGAUCUUUUGCUGUGAUUUUGUUUCAUUGCGUUUAUUCUCAGAAAGCUCUUAUAUGAAUUAAACUUUACUUAUAUGGUAUUUUGAUUAUCUCAUGAUUUCAUUUUUUUUAACAUUUUUGAUUCUGAAAAAAAAUUUUUUUUUUUGUAAUUUUGACAACAAAAUUAGAAACAGAGCAAGUGCAGAGACUAAUUUAACACAUACUCGUAUAGCCUGCUACUGGAAUUGAACAGAUUUUGUCAUCUGGGCACAUUCUCUUUCGAUUUUUACCAUGUCAGAAGUCAAAAGUCCCUGAAACCCCCUUUCUGUUCUGCCUUAGUCUCCUCAGAGCGAACCCACCAUGAAAUCUGUGGACAUCCCCCCACCCCCGGGCCGUGUUUCUAUGCUUUUAUUUUAUUUUACAUCCUGAAAACAGUAUAGAAUAUUAUUUCAUGUAUUAAAAAGAAGAGAUGAAUAAGGGGCGCCUGGGGGGCUCAGUUGGUUAAACAUCUGACUUCAGCUCAGGUCAUGAUCUCACAGUUCGUGAGUUCGAGCCCCCUGUUGGGCUCUGUGCUGACAGCCCAGGGUCUGGAGCCCGCUUCGGAUGCUGGGUCUCCCUCUCUCUCUGCCCUUCCUCCACUUAUGCUCUCUCUCUCUGUCUCUCUCAAAAAUAAAUAAAAACAUUUAAAUAAAAAAGAAAAGAUGAAGAAAUCCUAUUAUAUGGAUAUAUUCUGCAACUUUUCUUUUUGUAACCCAAGAUCCUGCUUUUGGGAUUUAUCCACUGGGAUACUUAGCUGUAGCUUAUGGGAUUCGGCGUGCCGGGCGGGCGCGUGAGUCUACCCCGUCCCCUACUCUGUGCCCAGGGGAGCACCUGGGCACCUCCAGCCGCUGGCCUCCAGCCCGGCCUACACACGGCGGGGCCUCUGAGGGCUUGUCUUCGAAGGUGGGGUCUCUGAGAAGGAGACCAGCGGGCAGGAGGGGACGGGGGGGUAAGACACUGGUGGAAGAGAAGGGAAGGAAGCAGGUGGACGGGGGAAAACCGGGCGUUGGUUCAGUCUCAGGAAGCCCCUGCCAGCCCCCCGGAGGCGUCCAAAGCAAGGAGGACCUCCCGACUUGCUGGGAGUUGGCGUGGGCAUCAGAGCCUCCCCCGCCCCCGCAUCUAACAACACUCCAUGUGCACCACCCUGGCCGGCACCGUGGCCUUGGGCACAGUGGCUGGCUUCAGCCCAGCCUCGUUCAGAAGAGGGCUGAGCACGGACGGCAUGCCCGGCAGCUGGGGGCUCGGUCCUUCCGCCUGGAAGGGGGACGUGGGCAGCGCAUCUCGGCGUCCGCUGCCCUUGUCUCGUCACUCCUCCGCCUUGAGAAUCAGGCGUUCUCUGCAACGGUCCCGAGGGAGGGGCUCUCCAAGAGCCACGGAGCCACAGGCUGUCCCACAGCCCCUGGCGAGCAAGCGUGGAGGGCUUCGAAGUCCGCAGCAGGUGCCGUCUGUUGCCGCUAGGCGUGCUUUUCCCUCACAUGUUCCACCCGGUUUGGUCCUGUCUGUAUUCUGUGUCGCAAGGAGAAAAACUGCCUGUAGUUAUUGGCACGUAGAUGAACCGACUCGUGUUCGCUCACGCAUGUUUGUUGAGUGCCUCAGUGUCCCCGGGCGUGGGUCCGGCGGUUGUAGACACAGUGUUCAGACAGCAAAGUAACACACACACGCACACGUGCACGUGCAUGAUGUCAUGACGGGUGGGAGCCCAUUAAGUGGGGGAAAAAUCACGUCAGGUUAAAGGGGUAGAGAGUGGGGAAAGAAGGCCUACGUCAGUUCAAACAGGGACCUGGGAGAGCUUUUCUGAUAAAGUGACAUUUAAGCAGAAACUGGAAGGAAAUGAAGGGGUGGUAAGUGUAAGUGUUUGGGAUGAGGGUGUUCGAGGCAGAGGUACAGCAUAUGCAAAGGUCCUGAGGCAGAAGAAAGCCCGGCAAGUUCAAGAAUCCUCUGGAAGGUCGGUGUGGCUGGACUGGGGUGAGGGAGGGAGGCACAGCAGACGCUUACAGAGGGAGCCAGGUCUGACCAGGUGAGGCCCCGUGGACCAUCCGGAGAAGUUUUGUCUUUGACCCUGAUUAGGAUGAGAGCCACUGUACGGUCUGAAGGGGCCAGUGGGAUAACCUGGGUGAGGGUUAAAAGGAGCACUCUAGAAGCUGGGUGAGGGGUGGAGAUUCGGGGGACAAGAACGGAAGCGGGAGGAUUCCUGCAGGAGUCCAGGAAGACAGGGCUCGCUCUGGGAGAAUGGACAGGUCAUAUCCAGCCCCUGGACUGGACAAGGUCCACUAGUGAGUGACUGUCGACGGGGAAGACAUCCCAGGACGGAGUCCCAUGGCCCUCCAGCCGGUGGAGGUCAGAGAGAGGGUGAGGCCAGCUGGGAGCCGGGAGGGGGAGGACGGCCGGCCAGCUGCCCGCGGAAGGCGCGUGGAGACCGCGUUCCAGCGACCGGCUGUGAUCGGCGGGGUGGGUGCCGCUGAGAGCUCACCUGUCCCGGCUGCUACCGCUCACGUGCGUGGCGUUUCCCAGGUGGAAGUGGGGGUUGGGCCAUCCCCACUGGAAUUCGGGAGGCAGGGAAAUCAACACCUAACCUCAGACCUUGGUCUUGGCAGACGCCGUUACGGGCGACUGCGAUGAACGGAAUCACUUGUCUGGAGGAAAGGAGGCCUCCCGUCUGCAGACCCCGGAGGACUCUUCUCUAGAGGUGGGGGGCUCCAGGGCCGCUCCCUCAGCCAGCGAUGGCCGCGGUGGCAUCCGGAGCACUGCUCCGUCCUCUCGCUCGCCGAAGGCUGCUUUCCGCGGCCAGGAACGAUUCUGCUCAGUUACUCUGUUGUGUCCCUCUUGCCCUCCCUCCUGGCUGGAGGCCCAGCUUCCUGCCCUUGGUGGAUUCUCAUUUUAUGUGAAACGUAAGAUGUCCUUUCCCUGAACAUAAUUUUGGACUUUAUUAAAACCCCGUCUAAUCCAGCUUUCGGCAGAGGGCGCACCGGGCUGUUAUUGAUUGGCAAUACUGUUAUCUGCUUAAGCGAAGAGGGAAGAAGUCAGAGCUGUCGAGUGAGGUCCAAAGCCAAGGCAGCCCCCCCGAGUUCUCUCUGGUCUCUGCCUUUUCGAGUCAUGGUGGAAACUCUGUGCUGUGGAUGAAGGCGAGCGGCAGGCAGGGCUGCCUUGGAAGGAAAGAAUGGCCACCCUUCUCUUUGCAGCACUUGGGUGUGAGAACCUCUGUUGUCGUCGGACGCGGAGCUGGCCCCCGCGGGGCCUGGAGGAGCUUGUUUCUUGCUGUCUGGCUGACAUCGGUAGCCUGUGGGGCCAGGAGUCACAGGUCCCCAGAUCGUCCUCCAGGCCUUCUUUGCAGAGCAAGGCGCCCUAGGGUUCCGUUCAUUCUGGCGGGUCAGACUCCACGGAACCCCGGGUACAAGAUGGCAACCUAGCGGCACCAGGGCCCGGGAAAGUCAUGCCAUCGGACUCUGGGAAAGUGGCGGGAAGCCUCUGUCUACACACGCGCUCCUUCCCAUUUUGGUGACGCUCAGCAAAGUGCUCUCCUCCCCUCCCCUCGGGGCUCCUCCAAUCCCAGGUAGAUGGGGCAACGUCCGUUUCCACUUGAGACAGAAACGGUCUGCACUCGUGCUGCCUUCUUGGAGAGGGGCGUUUGUCACGAGAAGUGGUCGUUUCUUGUCGGGGAAGCGCCUUGCUGAGGCGACCUGGGGAAAGGCAACGCCGUCCGACCACCGGCUGGCUGGCGGGUGAGCUGAGGGGACCCCAGAAUUCCUCCACGUGACCCUGUGGGAGAGACGUGAGGUGACCCCAGAAAGGGAGGAAGUCAGGGGGGCUUAGGGGCACCUUCCGGUCCCUGUGUUGAUCUUGUCCUCUGCCUGCAGAGCCCCUGGUGCAGAAUAGAUGCUCAGUAGACUGUUGUAGGAGUGUUAACUGAUCCAUCUAAAGUUAAGAGGUUUGGGUAGCAGCAUUAGCUGCCCUGACCUGAGUUUUGUCCUGCUUGUGCGUUACGCGGGGGGUUGCCUCUGCCCCUUCCUAGGCGCUGAGCACUUCUUUUUGGGUUAUGGUCUCACUUUAUGAGUACAAGGACAUGCGAAUAGAUGUGCUGGGUCCCCAAGCGACUACCGAUUGAACCUCUGCUCUCUAAGGAGGAGAUCGAGCUCCUUCUGGAACCGGUGGG